rnacentral:tRNA from 1 species
UCCUUUGUAGCUCAGUUUGAAAAGCAUCUGCCUGCAAUGCAGGAGACCUGGGUUCAAUUCCUGGGUCAGGAA